GAAAUGCGAUAAGUAAUGUGAAUUGCAGAAUUCCGUGAAUCAUCGAAUCUUUGAACGCACAUUGCGCCCUCUGGCAUUCCGGGGGGCAUGCCUGUCCGAGCGUCAUUACGCACCCUCAAGCCCGGCUUGUGUGAUGGGCCCUGGCGUCUCGUUCGCGAGACGGGCCCGAAAGGCAGCGGCAGCGUCAG
rnacentral:misc_RNA from 1 species